ACGAACGCUGGCGGCGUGCUUCACACCUGCCAGUCGCACGGAAAGGCCCUGCUUUUGUGGGGUGCUCGAGUGGCGAACGGGGGAGUAACACGUGAGUAACCUGCCCUUGACUUUGGGAUAACUUCAGGAAACUGGGGCUAAUACCGGAUAGGAGCUCCUGCUGCAUGGUGGGGGUUGGAAAGUUUCGGCGGUUGGGGAUGGACUCGCGGCUUAUCAGCUUGUUGGUGGGGUAGUGGCUUACCAAGGCUUUGACGGGUAGCCGGCCUGAGAGGGUGACCGGCCACAUUGGGACUGAGAUACGGCCCAGACUCCUACGGGAGGCAGCAGUGGGGAAUAUUGCACAAUGGGCGGAAGCCUGAUGCAGCAACGCCGCGUGCGGGAUGACGGCCUUCGGGUUGUAAACCGCUUUCGCCUGUGACGAAGCGUGAGUGACGGUAAUGGGUAAAGAAGCACCGGCUAACUACGUG
rnacentral:rRNA from 1 species